CAUACCUAUUCGAAGGGAUAGGGUCGGUUCGGCCGGAUUUUACACAAGUGUUGCAUGGCUGUCGUCAGCUCGUGUCGUGAGAUGUUGGGUUAAGUCCCGCAACGAGCGCAACCCUCAUCCUUAGUUGCUAUCAGGUAAUGCUGAGUACUUUAAGGAAACUGCCAGUGAUAAGCUGGAGGAAGGUGGGGAUGAUGUCAAGUCAUCAUGGCCUUUAUGGAGUGGGCUACACACGUGCUACAAUGGUGUCUACAAUGGGCUGCAAGGUGCGCAAGCCUAAGCUAAUCCCUAAAAGACAUCUCAGUUCGGAUUGUACUCUGCGACUCGAGUACAUGAAGUUGGAAUCGCUAGUAAUCGUGGAUCAGCAUGCCACGGUGAAUACGUUCUCGGGUCUUGUACACACUGCCCGUCACGCCAUGGAAUUGGUUUCACUCGAAGCU
rnacentral:rRNA from 3 species